rnacentral:lncRNA from 1 species
UCAAAUGCUAGCUUUCUCAAACCCACAGAUCGAGAUCACAGGCUCGCAGCUCCAUUUUCGACCUGAACCAAAGCUUCUAUACUUCACUUAUCUACCCCCGCACUCACCCCAUGACAAACUUUCCCCAUCGCACCACCGAUUGCUCCCUAUCUUUCGACGCACACAUACAAACCAGUAGCACUAUUUAGACAAUUGCUACAGACGCACCACCGCUGCUCUUCCACCUUCAUAUCUCUCUUACCACCAUCGCUGCUCUUCCACCUUCGUAUCUCUCUUACCGCUACCGCUGCUCUUUGUAACAUUCGGACUCCCAAGUAUAUUAGUUAUAUAUUUAUUUUGGGGGUUUAUUGAGUAGUGUGACGAUUUGGUGCCUCAACUCGUUGAGUAGUGUCGAGAUUGGCCACAUGGGUUUAGUGACCAACUCGACGAGUCAGAGAGCCGACUCACCGAGUUGGCGCUGUGGGAUGUAACCCUAAAUCCCCAAGUUUGUAACCUAUUUAAGGGGCCUUAAGCCCCCACUUCCGCCUCACCAACAACCUUACAACCUUGAGAGAAACCCUAAACGCCCACUUAAGUUAGAGAGUGAAAGAGGAGUUAAUCUUGAGAUUUUUAGAGCAUCAAUUGAGGAGAGGAGAGGGACAUCAAACAAUCAGAACUCCAAAAACACCAUCUGCUUUAUAUAAAAUACCAUCUGCUAUGCUAUAUAAUAAAUUAUUCAAUGGUAGUAAUAGUAAUAUAGUAUAUUGCUUUAUAUAAAAUACCAUCUGCUAAGCUACAUUUGAUUUUGAGCGUAGGGAGAAGAUAAAUGUAACAGUAAGGUUACAAAGGAGCAAAGACUCAAUUGUCUAACAAGUGACCUGUGAGCUGCUGAGCAUAUAGCAAGGUCUAACAAGUGACUUGACACCGUAUAGCAAGCUUUUUGGGUAAAAAGCAUGUUUAUGUUUGUUUUAUUUAGAUAAAAG